rnacentral:rRNA from 1 species
UACAGAGGUCCCAAGCGUUGUUCGGAUUCACUGGGCGUAAAGGGUGCGUAGGCGGUCGGGUAAGUCUGAUGUGAAAUCUUCAAGCUCAACUUGGAAACUGCAUCGGACACUAUUCGGCUCGAGGAAUGGAGGGGAGACUGGAAUACUUGGUGUAGCAGUGAAAUGCGUAGAUAUCUGGAGGAAUACCGGUGGCGAAGGCGGCAUCCUGGACCGAGAUUGACACUGAAAAGCGAAAGCCAGGGGAGCAAACGGG